UACGUAGGCAGCAAGCGUUGUUCGGAAUUACUGGGCGUAAAGAGUGUGUAGGCGGUGCUCUAAGUCUGUUGUGAAAUCUCCCGGCUUAACUGGGAGGGUGCAGCGGAAACUGGAAUGCUCGAGUAUGGGAGAGGUAAGCGGAAUUCCUGGUGUAGCGGUGAAAUGCGUAGAUAUCAGGAGGAACACCUGUGGUGUAGACAGCUUACUGGACCAUCACUGACGCUGAGACACGAAAGCGUGGUAGCAAACAGG
rnacentral:rRNA from 1 species